UACAGAGGUCCCAAGCGUUGUUCGGAUUCAUUGGGCGUAAAGGGUGCGUAGGCGGCGCGGUAAGUCGGGUGUGAAAUCUCGGAGCUUAACUUCGAAACUGCAUUCGAUACUGCCGUGCUUGAGGACUGGAGAGGAGACUGGAAUUUACGGUGUAGCGGUGAAAUGCGUAGAUAUCGUAAGGAAGACCAGUGGCGAAGGCGGGUCUCUGGACAGUUCCUGACGCUGAGGCACGAAGGCCAGGGGGAGCAAACGGG
rnacentral:rRNA from 1 species